ensembl:lncRNA
CCUCAUUAAAGUCCAGUAGAUCACUUCCUACUCAUCACUACAUCCUGUAUCUGGUCCUCAUUAAAGUCCAGUAGAUCACUUCCUACUCAUCACUACAUCCUGUAUCUGGUCCUCAUUAAAGUCCCGUAGAUCACUUCCUUAUUCACUCUUUUUGUUUGGUUUAUAAAGCUCUACUAUACAUGGUGGGUUAACUCUGAGGUUCCUAGGGUCGCCACCAAAUUAGGAGAAUCCGCUUUUAAUUUUAAUGUGCCUCACUGCAGAACGAAUAACAAUAGGAUAUUCUGGUGCAGUUUAGUGUGUUGGGGACCUAGUAGCUGAGGAAAGGAACGUUGUUGUGCUUUUAAAAAAAAACAUUUUAUAAGGCAUUGUAUUGAUUACUGUUUGGUUUCACAUCGUUUUUUUAUUUAUUGUUGUAGUACUGUAAAUCAGGGCACCCUGGGGGAUGACACCCUGGUCUCAUUGGUUUUCCCCUGAAUAAAUGAAAAAAAAAAAAAAAUGACAGAUCUGGAUUUAUGGUGGUGUGUGGGUCUGGCUGGUUGCCCAGGCGACUGACGACAGUAGACCUAUCCCUGACCUGCAGAUCUUUAGGCAUAGUGGAGACAGGACUCCACCUGCUGGUAAGAACCUAUUAUCAGAAUCUUCAUCCAUCCACUCCUCAUCAUCACCUCUCAAGCAAGGUUCAUGUGUAGUGGCAUGAUUUAAGCUACUGAUAUUGAAGGCGUAACCCGGGACUCGAUCCCGGGUCCAGCGACUAUCAAGCCAACACAUGAAAUCGCUACAUUAUAUCGGUUAACUCUGACACAACACCUUAAGACAUAGCCCACACAUGAACAAUGUAACCACGGACGUGGAGGGGGAAAAAAAAGACUGAUCCUAAAACAUAAAUUGACAGAUUUAAAUCAUCAAGGCACAACAAUCAUUGUCAGCUGAAAGGUCAAAAGGUCAGUUGAUAGAUGAGGUAGAACAACACGAGAGGCAUCUAUGGACAAUAUCGUCUCUGUCCCAAAUGGCACCAAAUCGAUUCCCUAUAUAGUGCACUACUUUUAACCAGGGCCUAUAGGGCUUUGGUCAAAUGUAGUGCACUAGGUAGGGAAUAGGGUGGCAUUUAUGGGUCUACCAUCCAUCAUUACCCAUAAUGCUUCAGGAAGGUUCUGUUUUUGACAAUAACUAUAAUGAUACAGUCUCCAGUCCACCAGUACAGGUAUUGUGAUACAGUCCACCAGUACAGGUAUUGUGAUAGUCUCCAGUCCACUAGUACAGGUAUUGUGAUACAGUCCACUAGUACAGGUAUUGUGAUACAGUCCACCAGUACAGGUAUUGUGAUACAGUCCACUAGUACAGGUAUUGUGAUACAGUCCACUAGUACAGGUAUUGUGAUACAGUCCACUAGUACAGGUAUUGUGAUACAGUCCACUAGUACAGGUAUUGUGAUACAGUCCACUAGUACAGGUAUUGUGAUACAGUCCACUAGUACAGGUAUUGUGAUACAGUCCACUAGUACAGGUUUUUUUUUAACCUAGGAAUAUAGUGUUCUCUGCAGUGUGUUCUCUGCUGUCUGUGCAGUGUGUUCUCUGCUGUCUGUGCAGUGUGUUCUCUGCUGUCUGUGCUGUGCAGUGUGUUCUCUGCUGUCUGUGCAGUGUGUUCUCUGCUGUCUGUGCUGUGCAGUGUGUUCUCUGCAGUCUGUGCAGUGUGUUCUCUGCUUUCUGUUCUGUGCAGUGUGUUCUCUGCUGUCUGUGCUGUGUGUUCUCUGCUGUCUGUGCAGUGUGUUCUC